rnacentral:rRNA from 1 species
UACAGAGGGUGCGAGCGUUAAUCGGAAUACUGGGCGUAAAGCGCGCGUAGGCGGCUUUGCAAGUCGGGUGUGAAAUCCCCAGGCUUAACCUGGGAACUGCAUUCGAGACUGCAUUGCUAGAGUAUGGGAGAGGGAAGUGGAAUUUCCGGUGUAGCGGUGAAAUGCGUAGAUAUCGGAAGGAACAUCAGUGGCGAAAGCGACUUCCUGGACCAAUACUGACGCUCAUGUGCGAAAGCGUGGGGAGC